GACGAACGCUGGCGGCGUGCUAAACACAUGCAAGUCGAACGAUGAACCCGGAGCUUGCUCCGGCGGAUUAGUGGCGAACGGAUGAGUAACACGUGAGUAACCUGCCCUUGACUCUGGGAUAACUGCGGGAAACUGUAGCUAAUACCGGAUACGACCCUCGGCGGCAUCGCCAGGGGGUGGAAAGAAUUUCGGUCAAGGAUGGACACGCGGCCGAUCAGCUAGUGGGUGAGGUAACGGCUCACCAAGGCGACGACGGGUAGCCGGCCUGAGAGGGUGACCGGCCACACUGGGACUGAGACACGGCCCAGACUCCUACGGGAGGCAGCAGUGGGGAAUAUUGCACAAUGGGCGCAAGCCUGAUGCAGCAACGCCGCGUGAGGGAUGACGGCCUUCGGGUUGUAAACCUCUUUUAGUAGGGAAGAAGCGAAAGUGACGGUACCUGCAGAAAAAGCACCGGCUAACUACGUGCCAGCAGCCGCGGUAA
rnacentral:rRNA from 1 species